rnacentral:rRNA from 1 species
GCACCCGCGGUAAUUCCAGCACCAAUAGCGUAUAUUAAUGCUGCUGCUGUUAAAAAGCUCGUAGUUGGAUCAAGAGUCGGACAGUGCACGGUGGCCCCAUUAGCCAGUUUGGCUCCGGUCAUAUUGGCGGUGGCGGAUCAACCCCGUGCGCCAAACUGUCCGCUCUAACAGGCCGAAACGGUUCCCUGUGAGUAGGCCCCUUCAUUGGGGUCGAGAGCGCCUACGCAUCAACCAUAUGCAUACGGGACGUCGGCCAAAGUUACUGUGAACAAACCAGCGUGUCCAAAGCAGGCUUUCGCCUGAAUGUUCGAGCAUGGAAUAACAAGGGAUCGAUUCUCUCGGUUCUUUUUGUUGGUUUUUAACCCGAGAAGGAGUAAUUCAGUCCACGGUGUCUGAGUUGGGUUUCCCGAGGCUUCGGCUGAGGCCCCAAUUAGGCCGUGUACUUACGGGAUCAAUAGGGACUGACGGGGUCGUACGUACUUCCGCGUCAGAGGUGAAAUUCUUAGAUCGCGGGAAGACGAACUUCUGCGAAAGCAUUCGACAAGAAUGUCUUCAUUAAUCAAGAACGAGAGUGUGGGGAUCGAAGAUGAUCAGAUACCGUCGUAGUCCACUACUGUAAACAAUGCCGUCUCAGGAUUGAGAAGUGAACUGAAUGACUUUCACAGCACUAACCCCUGAAACGAGAAAUCAAAGAUUAUGGGUUCAGGGGGGAGUACAUUCGCAAGGCUGAAACUUAAAGGAAUUGACGGAAUGACACCGCAAGGCGUGGAGUAUGCGGCUUAAUUUGACUCAACACGGGGAAUUUUACUAGGUCAGGACAAUGUAAGGAUUGACAGAUUGAGAGCUCUUUCUCGAUCCAUUGUGUGGUGGUGCAUGGCCGCUCCUGGUUGGUGGAGUGAUUUGUCUGGUUGAUUCCGUUAACGAACGAGAUCUCGACCCUUAAAUAGGUGCCCGUGUCGAUCGUAGUUUCACUCCUGCUCGCUUGCGAGACUAGGAUGGGACGAGACUGCGGGAAUACUUCUUAAGGGGACUGUAUGCGUCUAUAGCAUGCGGAAGAGCGAGCCAAUAGCAGGUCUGUGAUGCUCCUAAAUGUCCUAGGCUGCACGCGCACUACACUGAUGCAAUAAGCGAGUCUGACGGCCUUCUGGCAACCUACCUGGAAGCGGGUGGGAAAUCUUUUGAACUGCAUCGUGAUGAG